CCUACGGGUGGCUGCAGUUUCGAAUCAUUCACAAUGGGCGAAAGCCUGAUGGUGCGACGCCGCGUGAGGGAUGAAGGUCUUCGGAUUGUAAACCUCUGUCACUGGGGAAGAAACGCUUUGAGUUAAUAGUUCAAAGCCUGACUUAACCCGGAGAGGAAGCAGUGGCUAACUCUGUGCCAGCAGCCGCGGUAAUACAGAGACUGCAAGCGUUAUCGGGAUGCGCUGGGAGGCAAGCGUGUGUAGGCGGCCGGAAAGCCCGGAGCUUAACUCCGGAACUGCGCCUCAAACUACACGGCUAGAGCAUUGGAGAGGGAAGUGGAAUUCACGGUGUAGCAGUGAAAUGCGUAGAUAUCGUGAGGAACACCAGUGGCGAAGGCGACUUCCUGGACAAUUGCUGACGCUCAGGCACGAAAGCGUGGGGAGCAAAAGGGAUUAGAUACCCUGGUAGUC
rnacentral:rRNA from 1 species